UGUGUUUAAUGUAUACUAAAUCUUUAUUAUUGAGCCCGAGCCCUCAGGCUCGAGGUCUGAUUUGAGCUCGUAAUUAAAACGAGCUUUACGAGCUCAAGUCCGAACAUUUUCUUUGUCAAGCAAGUCCGAGCUCGAACACAAUACAGAGCUCGAUACCAAGCCCAAGCCCGAACAUCUGUAAAACAAGCCGAGCUCGAGCCUCCUCAAGCUCGGCUCGUUAAUAGGCCUAAUUGCAAGUCUUUCAAAUCAUGGGGCACCCAGCACCUCAAUUAUGAUAUGACCAAAUUAGAUUUGCCCAAAUUCUUUCCCAAAAGCACAAAGAAAGCGGUAGCAUCUGAAUUUGAACCGGAUCCAACCCGGAUCCGACCCAAAUCGGACUAAACCCGACCCAGAGUCAAAAAUUAUAGGCAUGGACCCGACAAGCAGCCCUUUUUAGGAGACGAGGCAAGUCUCAUCCCACCACUAUCAGGACUUGGUGACCGUGCCCACUACAAUGAUACGGCAAGUGUUUUUUUAAUGCCACCUUUAUUUUUUUUCUUUUUUCUUAGGAAAAAAAAAGAGGGGAGAGAAGAAUUAACCCCCCCCCCACGUAGCAACCCCCACUGGGCCACCCUUCCACCCUUCCACCAGAAAAUAUCCGAUGCGGAUAGACAACACACUCAUACCCUCCCCGAUCCGUUAGGAGCCCCACCAACGUGACAGCCCUUUCUACAUGUGAAUAUGUCACUCCAACACCAUCUCAGUACCGACAGACCAAAUGACGACUCCACCGAUCAAACCAUGCGGGAGGCAUCCGGUUCCCGUAUUUAAUCGACACCUGCGCGUUUCGAAGGGCCACUCUAAUGUAAUCUUAGCCCCAUCCCAACUGUGCUACCACCUUGGUGGUAUGCCACCUAUCUAUUUGAUCCGAUUCUUUUUCUCGGGCUAAAGAUAAAACUGGAACGGAUCGGGAGUUAAAAAAAAAUCUUUUGAGUUUUAAAAUAUUUUGUUUUCUGAUUCCCCACAGUUGCAUUUAUUCUAAAUCGGUUUAAUAAAUCCAGUUUACCAUCCGUUUCGAAAAAGAAAAAAAAAUAAGAAUAUCUGAUCUUUGCUUGCCAAAUAUACCUUUCUCGACCUUUCUGCUAAUAUUAUUCUAUGAUUUGUUUUAAACAAAUAACUGACACAAAGGAUUUGAACCCCCUUAGAGGAGAGGUGCAAAAAAAACUAAGUGGACGCAAAAUCCCCAAAUUCCCAAAACCCUAGCGUCAAAACAAGAACAUGAUCUUCUAAAAAUCACUUCAAAUCGAAUGGGUUAAAACAUCGAAAGUUAAAAAAAUGCAGAAAAUUAAAUAGAAUGGGAAGGAAAAUGAGCAAAAGCCAAAAGGACAGGGACAUAUCUCGGAUAAAGAGAGAGAAGGGAGAGAGGCUCAGAGUCGCACUUGAUCCAUCAUUAUGGCGUAGAGGGAGAGGGAGAUCCCACUUUCCUCCCCAUCUCUGCACUCUUCUCAACGGCUGGUGGCUACAGCGGUUGCCUGCGAAGCAUCAGACCUUCCUUUCUGCCCCGCCACCGUUGCCUAGAAAGAGUAAUGCAAAGAUCUCGGUUUCUCAUCACCGCCUCUUCAGAACACACACACAUACACACACACACACACACAGAGAGAAAGAAGGAGGGGAGAGAGAGAGAGAGAGAGAGAGAGAGAGAGAGAGAGAGAGAGAN
rnacentral:lncRNA from 1 species